rnacentral:rRNA from 1 species
AUUCCCCUAGUAACGGCGAGUGAAGCGGGAACAGCUCAAAUUUGAAAUCUGGCCCUUGGGUCCGAGUUGUAAUUUGCAGAGGAUGCUUUUGGUGCGGUGCCUUCCGAGUUCCCUGGAACGGGACGCCUUAGAGGGUGAGAGCCCCGUACGGUUGGCCACCAAGCCUGUGUAAAGCUCCUUCGACGAGUCGAGUAGUUUGGGAAUGCUGCUCAAAAUGGGAGGUAUAUUUCUUCUAAAGCUAAAUACUGGCCAGAGACCGAUAGCGCACAAGUAGAGUGAUCGAAAGAUGAAAAGCACUUUGAAAAGAGGGUUAAAUAGCACGUGAAAUUGUUGAAAGGGAAGGAUUUAUGACCAGACUUUUUCUGGGGGGAUCAUCCGGUGUUCUCACCGGUGCACUUCCCCCAGUUGAGGCCAGCAUCGGUUUCUGCCGGGGGAUAAAAGCUUCGGGAAUGUGGCUCCCUUCGGGGAGUGUUAUAGCCUGUUGCAUAAUACCCUGGCGGGGACCGAGGUUCGCGCAUUGCAAGGAUGCUGGCGUAAUGGUUAUUAAUCACCCGUCU